GUAAGGAUAAGCUACCGAAAGGUGGUCUAAUACCUUAUAGUAUCCAUCUCGUAUGGAUUAAAGCUUUAUGCGCUUUGGGAGGGGCCUGCGUUUGAUUAGCUAGUUGGUGAGGUAAAAAGCACACCAAGGCGACGAUCAAUAGCUGGUUUGAGAGGAUGACCAGCCACACUGGGACUGAGAUACGGCCCAGACUCCUACGGGAGGCAGCAGUAAGGAAUCUUCCACAAUGGGGCAACCCUGAUGGAGCAAUACCGCGUGCAGGAUGAAGCGUUUCGGCGUGUAAACUGCUUUUAUCACCGAAGAUUAUGACUGUAGGUGAAGAAUAAGGACCGGCUAACUACGUG
rnacentral:rRNA from 1 species